rnacentral:snRNA from 1 species
GCAAAAACCACAUGAUGUU